GCGUUGUUCGGAUUUACUGGGCGUAAAGGGCGCGUAGGCGGCGUGUCAAGUCAAUUGUGAAAUCUCCGAGCUUAACUCGGAACGGUCAAUUGAUACUGAUGUGCUAGAGUGCAGAAGGGGCAAUCGGAAUUCUUGGUGUAGCGGUGAAAUGCGUAGAUAUCAAGAGGAACACCUGAGGUGAAGACGGGUUGCUGGGCUGACACUGACGCUGAGGCGCGAAAGCUAG
rnacentral:rRNA from 1 species